AGCUUUGCGCAGUGGCAGAAUCGUAGCCAAUGAGGAUUAUCCGAGGCGCGAUUAUUGCUAAUUGAAAACUUAAACGGUACAACUUCCUGAAUAUCUGGGCCGAGGCUUCCUUC
rfam:Canis lupus familiaris chromosome 26, whole genome shotgun sequence.